CCUACGUGAGGCAGCAGUGGGGGAUAUUGCACAAUGGGGGGAACCCUGAUGCAGCGACGCCGCGUGAGCGAAGAAGUACCUCGGUAUGUAAAGCUCUAUCAGCAGGGAAGAAAAUGACGGUACCUGACUAAGAAGCACCGGCUAAAUACGUGCCAGCAGCCGCGGUAAUACGUAUGGGGCAAUCGUUAUCCGGAUUUACUGGGUGUAAAGGGAGCGCAGGCGGCCUGCCAAGUCUGGUGUGAAAACCCGGGGCCCAACCCCGGGCCUGCAUUGGAAACUGGCGGGCUGGAGGGUCGGAGGGGCAGGCGGAAUGCCUAGUGUAGCGGUGAAAUGCGUAGAUAUUAGGAGGAACACCGGUGGCGAAGGCGGCCUGAUGGACGAUGACUGACGCUGAGGCUCGAAAGCGUGGGGAGCAAACAGGAUUAGAUACCCGAGUAGUC
rnacentral:rRNA from 1 species